ensembl:snoRNA SNORD22 Small nucleolar RNA SNORD22
UCCCAGUGAAGAAACAGUCACAUGUCUUACCUCCUGUCCUAGUCCCAGAGCCUGUAACAGUGAACCAAAGUAAAAGAAA